rnacentral:tRNA from 1 species
GUUCCGAUAGCUCAGUGGUAGAGCGUGGGAUUGCAGUAGAAAAUAAUCAUCCUAAGGUCGCGUGUUCAAUCCACGCUCGGAACU